GUGAUUUUCAGUCAUAGCCUUCAUUCAGUCAUAGCCAUAUGGUCACCAGUAGAGGUUAGGAACUGUGCACGCUCUGCUGGCCCUCAGUCAUUUUGUCAUCGCUGCUCUGUUUAGAUACAUUUGAAAACUCACCAAAAAGGGGAGGGAGCUGCCAUUCAAGAGAGCCCCUGAUUGGUGCAUUUCAAGUCCACAGCCUGCUAGAUGCUAUGUGAAAUACUCAUGGGGAUAAGGCCCAGGUUCUUCAUGGCACUUGACCUGAUUUGGCUGGGAGGACUCACUGAGCCUCAGAAUGCCGAGAGUUUGAUAAACACAACUGUUUGUCAGAUCAGGCUUCCUUUCUUUAAGUAGAAGAAUGUAAGGCAGCAGGCUGACCUUGCCUCUCAUUUCCAGAUCGCACUCUGAGUCAUUUCCCAGUGUACGAGAAGGACCAUCUAUUCAGCAGCAAUCCCAGCUGGGACUUUGGCUCAUUCCGAAGGCUGGGCCACCUGAUCCUGGAGACACAUUUCAACCUUUUCUGGUUUGCUCAUGUGUUCACUGAUGUGGGGCACUAUGUGUUCCUCGAUAAUGCUGACCUGGACCGCAGCUGCUUUGUAGUGGUGAGCAACACCAGUGCCAUGUGCCCUACUUCCGUUUUCCAGCCAUCGUCUCCCAAUCAGCUGGCUCGCCAUGGCUUUCUCAGACAACGCCCGCUCAACCUGACCCCAGACUGGGCCAUCAUUACAGGUGUGCUUGGCUGCUUGUUGCUGGUGGCCGCUGUGCUGACCGCCUCUGCUUUGGUGCUGAGACCCCAUUACACCGAGCUGUGCCCAAAGUGCUGCUGGAAACCUAGAUGGCGCAGCCUGGGAGAGCCACAAACCCGCCAGGGUUGUCCCUGCAGGGAGAGGUACCUGUGAAGGGUUGGCAGUCUGUAAUUUACAAUGGAGGUGCAGGGGAAUGAAG